GAUGAACGCUGGCGGCGUGCUUAACACAUGCAAGUCGAACGGAAAGGCCAGUGCUUGCCCUGGUGCUCGAGUGGCGAACGGGUGAGUAACACGUGGGUGAUCUGCCCUGCACUUUGGGAUAAGCCUGGGAAACUGGGUCUAAUACCAGAUAGGACCAUGCUUUGGAUGGUGUGGUGGAAAGUUUUUUCGGUGUGGGAUGAGCUUGCGGCCUAUCAGCUUGUUGGUGGGGUAAUGGCCUACCAAGGCGUCGACGGGUAGCCGGCCUGAGAGGGUGUACGGCCACAUUGGGACUGAGAUACGGCCCAGACUCCUACGGGAGGCAGCAGUGGGGAAUAUUGCACAAUGGGCGCAAGCCUGAUGCAGCGACGCCGCGUGGGGGAUGACGGCCUUCGGGUUGUAAACUCCUUUCGCAACUGACGAAGCUUUUUGUGACGGUAGGUGGAGAAGAAGCACCGGCUAACUACGUG
rnacentral:rRNA from 1 species